rnacentral:rRNA from 1 species
ACAGCAGCCGCCGCGGUAAUACGAGGGGAGCUAGCGUUGUUCGGAAUUACUGGGCGUAAAGCGCGCGUAGGCGGCUUUUUAAGUCAGAGGUGAAAGCCCGGGGCUCAACCCCGGAAUUGCCUUUGAAACUGGAAAGCUAGAAUCUUGGAGAGGUCAGUGGAAUUCCGAGUGUAGAGGUGAAAUUCGUAGAUAUUCGGAAGAACACCAGUGGCGAAGGCGACUGACUGGACAAGUAUUGACGCUGAGGUGCGAAAGCGUGGGGAGCAAACAGGAUUAGAUACCCCAGUAGUCCCUGUCUCUUAUAC